rnacentral:hammerhead_ribozyme from 1 species
GCACUGCUGAAGAGUCCCACAAUAGAACGAAACGGUCGCCCAGUGC